rnacentral:lncRNA from 1 species
CUCAGGGAAGUGUUUGGCCAACUGAAAUGUGUAGCGGGCAGGCAGGCAGGUGGGUAGGCGGGCAGGAUGGCAGGCGCUAGGCAAGCGGGCGGACGCGUAGGCACUCAAUGUGGGUAGAACACAGGGGAAGCAGAGACGGAGUAAUCUGACCAAGCAGCUGAAGUGACAGAAGCUACAUUAAUAGAGGCAUAUGUCUGGAGCACAGAGAGACGGAAAGAGAGAGAAAACAGACACUGUACCAGCCUGAGAGAGAGCGAGAGAGAAAGGGUGAGGGGUAAACAGAAAACAGCGCCAGCCUCUGUAAUUGCCUCAAUGCCACUGGGAAUGCUCUCAUUCAUUUGAAGCAGGCUGUAUUCUCGCUCUCUCUUUCUCUUUUUUCACAAUUGAGGUGCGUGGGGUGCAGUUGGGUGGGUGAUCCGUGUGCAAUCCUCAGUGUGUGAUGCUAACGUAUGGCGAUGAGUGCGAUAGCUCCCCUGUGCUGAAUCUCCCGUAACAUCAGCGUGAGGACCAGUCCAUGGCUGUGGCCUGGGUAGAGAGCACAGCACACAGCGCUGUGGAAAAGUGAGGGCGAUAAGGAGGUAGGCGGACUGCAGCUCAGACCUGUCAGAUGUGAUCGCGCACCGGAGCGCUCCGCAUGUGUCUGUCUCUUUUUAUAUUUCCCUAAGACAGCCCACCUCUUCACGCCCCCCUCUCUUCUUUUUUUCCCUCUCUCCUCCUCUGCGCUCUGUUUUUUUUUCUAACUUCCUCGAGGAAUUCUUUAUUUCUUUAUGUCUUGUGUGGCGCGUGCGUUGGAUGAUGUGCCCCCCCUCCUUCCUCUUUUCUCCUCCUCUCUCUUUGCCGCUUUCACAGCCUAGUUUUCUUUUUUUCUCAAUCUUGUGUGCAGGUUGUAUCUGACAGAGAGAGGACCACCGCCACGCUCCAGCCCCAACCCACUGGUUCAUUAGUAUCAACAGUGAGUGAAUCACCCAGCUUUGGCCCGUCCGGCGUUACCUGUACAUGGAGACCCCCAGCUGGGCAGGUACGUCCCUCUGCCUCUCUCUCUCCAACACACACACACACUUUCUCUCUCUCUACCUGUCUCUCUAUUACAUACACACACACACACACACACACACACACACACACACACA